GAGGGUAAAGCUCAGUGGUAGAGCAUAGGCUUAGCAUGCAAGAGGCCCUGAGUUCAAUUCCCAGUACUUCCA
rfam:Camelus ferus unplaced genomic scaffold scaffold2018, whole genome shotgun sequence.